rnacentral:rRNA from 1 species
AUUGAACGCUGGCGGCAGGCCUAACACAUGCAAGUCGAACGGUAGCACAGAGAGCUUGCUCUCGGGUGACGAGUGGCGGACGGGUGAGUAAUGUCUGGGAAACUGCCCGAUGGAGGGGGAUAACUACUGGAAACGGUAGCUAAUACCGCAUAACGUCGCAAGACCAAAGUGGGGGACCUUCGGGCCUCACACCAUCGGAUGUGCCCAGAUGGGAUUAGCUAGUAGGUGGGGUAAUGGCUCACCUAGGCGACGAUCCCUAGCUGGUCUGAGAGGAUGACCAGCCACACGGGAACUGAGACACGGUCCAGACUCCUACGGGGGGCAGAAGUGGGGAAUAUUGCACAAUGGGCGAAAGCCUGAUGCAGCCAUGCCGCGUGUAUGAAGAAGGCCUUCGGGUUGUAAAGUACUUUCAGCGGGGAGGAAGGCGGUGGAGUUAAUAACUUCACCGAUUGACGUUACCCGCAGAAGAAGCACCGGCUAACUCCGUGCCAGCCGCCGCAGUAA